CCCUUAGAUGUUCUGGGCCGCACGCGCGCUACACUGACGGAGUCAACGAGUUGUCCUGCAUCGAAAGGUGUGGGUAAUCUUUUGAAACUUCGUCGUGCUGGGGAUAGAUCUUUGCAAUUAUCGAUCUUGAACGAGGAAUUCCUAGUAAGCGUGAUUCAUCAGAUCGCGUUGAUUACGUCCCUGCCCUUUGUACACACCGCCCGUCGCUACUACCGAUUGAAUGGUUUAGUGAGGCCUCGGGACUGGGGCGAGUAGGCAGCAAUGCCCGUUCGUGCCGGGAACUUGGUCAAACUUGAUCAUUUAGAGGAAGUAAAAGUCGUAACA
rnacentral:rRNA from 1 species